AUAUACAUCGUAAAAAGCUAAAACAUAAAAGCUCCAUAAAACAUCCCCCAAAUCAAGAUCUAAAAGGCAGUGAUGAUGGAAUUUGUUGUUGUCUGAGUAAAUCGGGAUGAAGUCUGAGAAUUACCAUAUCUUGACGGGGUAAUUUUCGAUGAUUGCAGCCAUGGCAGUUUGUUCAUCCUUCGUUCGAUUCACUACCAUCAGUAGCAGCAAAGACAUCGUUAUUGGCAGUCACCAUCUCCGUGGGGGGUUUUCCGACGAUUGGUCUACUGGUCGAAGUCCACGACUGUCGGUCAUGGAUCAGCUAUAUCUAAUUUCUUUUCUUUCUAGAUUUAUAGUUCUUUGUUGAUAAUGUUAUUCAAUAUAUAAACUUCUAGGUUUAUAAUGUUAGAUCACCUGAGUUGAAUUGAAAUUCGGGUUUAUUUCAAUCCAAUUCGAUUAAUUCGGGGUCGGAUUCUAAUCCAGGAUAUGUUUUUUGUUUAA